GCAUGUGAGUGCUAUGUGGCUGCAACAUCUGUCACCCCAUUGAUAGCCAGGGUUGAUUCAGCUGAUCUGGCUGGCUAGGCGGGUGUCCCUUUCCUCCCUCACUGCUUCACGUACAUCCCUUCAGAAGCUGUGUGCUUGGUUGAAGAGGAUGCCGUUCCCCGAUGCAGGCAGUUCAUCUGUCAUGGGUAUGCAGUAGCUGUGCUCCUCCCCUGCUAGAACCUCCAAACAAACUGAAGGUCCAGUUGUAGGAGAACAUAGGGUAGUCAAGCUUCCAAGACUGCAGACACACCCAAGUGAGAUGCUGCAUGUGGCAGUCUGCCAUUCUUU
rnacentral:snRNA from 14 species